AGCUCCAAUAGCGUAUAUUAAAGUUGUUGCGGUUAAAAAGCUCGUAGUUGGAUUUCUGUCCGAGGCAGCCGGUCCGCACCUGGUGCGUGUAUCUGGUUUGGCUAGGGCAUCCUCUUGGGGAACGUCUCUGUGCUUGAUUGCAUGGGGCGGAAUUCAAGACUUUUACUUUGAGGAAAUUAGAGUGUUCACGGCAAGCUAUCGCUUUGAAUACAUUAGCAUGGAAUAAUAAUAUAGG
rnacentral:rRNA from 1 species